GGAGAUGGCAACAGCUUCACAGUGGUCCCCUUGCUCUGCUAUGAGACCUAUGAAGAGCAGAGUGAGCUCCCCAGAGAAACCACUCUAAGGAGAUCCGUUUGUCUAGAGAAGUAUGGUCAUGGUCUUCAAACAAACAUCUUUUUAGAAGCUGGAAGCAUUCACCAAAAAAAAUAUGGGAUCACAUUAUUUAUUCAGGUACCAUUCUGCCCAAGAAAAGCCUGUGUGACGACUACUGAUACGCCCUUACUCUGUCAUGGGGCUUUUCUGCAUUCUGCAAGCAAGUGCAGAAAUGGAAAUUGCCACAGCAUCCAAGGACUGUCAUAAAAUUAAAAAUUAGCAAUUGAACUCAUGUGGAAUCAACUCAGUUUUCGGUUGUCUGC